UGGGGGAAUAUUGCACAAUGGGGGAAACCCUGAUGCAGCGACGCCGCGUGAGUGAGGAAGUAUUUCGGUAUGUAAAACUCUAUCAGCAGGGAAGAUAAUGACGGUACCUGACUAAGAAGCACCGGCUAAAUACGUGCCAGCAGCCGCGGUAAUACGUAUGGUGCAAGCGUUAUCCGGAUUUACUGGGUGUAAAGGGUGCGUAGGUUGUAAGUCAAGUCAGCGGUGAAAAGUCGGGGCUAAACCUUGAGGGUGCCGUUGAAACUGAUUUACUAGAAUGUGGAUGAUGCCGGCGGAAUGUGUCAAGUAGCGGUGAAAUGCAUAGAUAUGACACAGAAGGCCGAUUGCGAAGGCAGCUGGCAAAGGCACGAUUGACGCUGAGGCACGAAAGUGCGGGGAUCGAACAGGAUUAGAUACCCUGGUAGU
rnacentral:rRNA from 1 species